rnacentral:rRNA from 1 species
CGCGUAGGCGGGAUAUUAAGUCUCUUGUCAAAGUGCGGGGCUCAACCCCGUGAUGCGGGAGAAACUAAUAUUCUUGAGUACCGGAGAGGAAAGCGGAAUUCCCAGUGUAGCGGUGAAAUGCGUAGAUAUUGGGAGGAACACCAGUGGCGAAGGCGGCUUUCUGGACGGUGUCUGACGCUGAGGCGCGAAAGCCAGGGGAGCGAACGGGAUUAGAUACCCCGGUAGUCCUGGCCGUAAACGAUGGGUACUAGGUGUAGGGGGUAUCGACCCCUCCUGUGCCGGAGUUAACGCAAUAAGUACCCCGCCUGGGGAGUACGGCCGCAAGGUUGAA